GCAAGGAAAAAUGUACUUUGGAAAUUCUUGUAUUCUCCUUGUAAUAUUUCAUUCUUUUAUCCUAUAAUAAUAGGUAUGAGCAGAAGGACUUUCUCAUCAAGCAGAAGAUGAAACAGAAAAUAAAUGAAAGAAAAAAGCAAGAAAUAAGAAGAGCUGAAAAAGAAGAUAAAGAUAAAUUGGCUGUUAGUGAAUAUGAAAGGUGGCUGGAGAAGAAAGAAAAAAAAGAAAAACACGAGAGAAAACAAAAGAAGCAUGUUGUUCUUUAUACAUCUGAAUCAUUUCCUCAGUGGAAUUCUCCAAGAAAAUUUGCACUAACAAAAAAUUGAGAAUUCAACUUCCAAUCCUGUCCAAUCUUUAUUUAACAGUAACCAAUUUAAAAGGGGUUUCGGAACAUACUUUGUAUAUUUUAUUUUUAGAAUGGAAAUUCUAUUUAAAUUGCAAUUCCAGAAGACUGUUGUAAUAUAAAAGGUUGUUUGGAGUUUAAUGAUCAAAACACUAUACAGGCUAUAAAUAAGCAGGUUGCUUCAAAAGCCAAGAUGUAGAUUCUUUCCAUUUAUACCAAAAAAAAAAAAAAACCUUCUAUCAUGUCCUUUAAAUUCUUCAAAAUUAGGUGACUUUAGUCUUGGUGAAUACGUAUAUCUCAGAUCCCUUUAUGAAACAGAAUCAUUUUCAAGGUACUAUGAUUAUCGAGAUGCUAUUUAAAUAUGUGAAUUGAUAGUACUUUUAGGUUUAUUUUUUUCAUAUUUAUUCACUGGAAAAUAUAUGUAACAUUCCCUUUAUCUUAAAGCUAUUAUUUUUGCACUGAAGAAUUUUGGAACUAUGCCAAGUUAAUUUUUGGUGAGUGGAGAUAGUACUCUAUCAAACUAAUAAUCCUCAAAUCUUCUCUUUGAAAAAAAUUAUCUUGCUAUUUCCUUUCAUUACCCCAAAAGAAACACAGUUUUUGAAAAUAAGUGCACUUUAACACCUCUGUUCUAGGUUCAGGUGACAGUCACAAGUACUUUUUAAACUCUUCUUGUUCCUUCCAAACUCUCUUUCUUGUUCCAUGAUUACAGCAGAAAGUCUAAGUGCUCAAUAAUACUAUAGUAUUGUCUUUAUUCAUUUGUCAAGAAAAUUCCACAGGAUUUCAAAGACAGCACCAUUAAUAUUUUCCAAAAAGGCAGUAAAUUUGACAAUGGCAAUUCUUGUGCCAUCUUGCCUGGUCCUCCUUAUGACUAAAGGCAUGCAUUUGAAAGCUAGAUGGCCAUGGACAUGUGUGCAGGGGUUGGCAAUAGAACCAUCUUCCCCUGCGUACAACCCUUUGGAUGCAUUAGCACCAUGGGGUUUUUUGUUUUGUUUUGAUCUUUUCUUUUUUAACUAACCAAGCUACCUAGAAACAGAUGAAAUAUAAGCACUCAGAAUUUGAGUGUUGCUUUGGUCUACAAUGGAAUACAUAGAAAGAAAUGGGAAAAUUGUAAAGUCUAGCCAGAUUUUGGUAUUGAAUCAGCCUUAUAAAAAGUAUUUGGACUCUCACAACCAAAGAGCAAGUUUACUGUUCAAAAAAAUUCACCAUGAAGAAACUGGUGGUUUUUAAAAUGAUGUUGCACCCAUCCAAUGUAGUUCUUACCACUAGUGGAAUGAAGUUUGGAUUUCAUAGAGUAUCAAUUUUAUUCAGCCUUUAUACAACAGUGUUUGACAACAUGGCAGCUUAGAAGUUGCUCUUGGGCUGCAGCCUUCCAGUAACACUGCAGAUUAAAAACAUUAUUCAUCCUUCAGACUGUCACCUAGGAGUUUAAGACUAUACACUGAUAAUUUCAUUCAUUCCACAGGAUGUGUGAAAUACUUGCAAGUUCAACAGCACUGUUCUGGGAAUUAACAGCAUGUUUUAAGGAAGAGAACUUUUUUUUUUAACUUUAAACCAGAGCAAUCCUGCAUCUGGUGAAAAUGUUUUAUCAGUAAUAUCAUCUGAAAGAUAUCACUGGAUUCUGAAAAGAUCAGCAAGUAACCAGAAGCUAGCUUGUUUAAGAGAUAUACAGGAAGUCUGUGGUGCCAGUGUGACAAAGAUUCAGUUUCAGCGUGAGCAGUACGUUCUGUUUGGGGCUGUGAGGCUUUCUUUUUGUCUGUGAGAUUUCAUGAUUAUAGUGACAUACUGGAGGCUCAACAUUCAAGAUUUGCAUAACCUUCCUCAAAAGUUUUGUAUUACAUGGGUAGACUUAUCUUAAAUACUUGUAUUAAACAUGUAUCUUUUUCAGUUGCUUGGCCUCAUUAAUAAAUAUUAAAACUUCCAUUUUCUGUCA
rnacentral:lncRNA from 1 species